rnacentral:rRNA from 1 species
CGUAGGUGGCAAGCGUUGUCCGGAAUUAUUGGGCGUAAAGCGCGCGCAGGCGGUUCCUUAAGUCUGAUGUGAAAGCCCCCGGCUCAACCGGGGAAGGUCAUUGGAAACUGGGGAACUUGAGUGCAGAAGAGAAGAGCGGAAUUCCACGUGUGGCGGUGAAAUGCGUAGAGAUGUGGAGGAACACCAGUGGCGAAGGCGGCUCUUUGGUCUGUAACUGACGCUGAGGCGCGAAAGCGUGGGGAGCAAACAGGAUUAGAUACCCUGGUAGUCCACGCCGUAAACGAUGAGUGCUAAGUGUUAGAGGGUUUCCGCCCUUUAGUGCUGCAGCUAACGCAUUAAGCACUCCGCCUGGGGAGUACGGCCGCAAGGCUG